rnacentral:lncRNA from 1 species
UGGGUUGCUGGGAUUGGAGGAAUUUGUGGGGUGGAUGGAGAGAGAGGGUGAAGAGAGAAAGAUGGAGGAUUUGAGAGAGGCCUUUAGGAUGUAUGAGAUGGAAGGGAGUGGGUGUAUUACUGCAAAGAGCUUGAAAAGGAUGCUGAGUAGAUUGGGGGAGUCAAGAAGUGUGGAAGAGUGCAGUGUUAUGAUCGGACAAUUUGAUGUAAAUGGGGAUGGGGUUCUGAGCUUUGAUGAGUUCAAGCGCAUGAUGCUUUAAUCUUGUUUAACAUCUUUUAUCUGAAUGUUGUAUUUUUUUUUUUAGAUUUAAGAAGAGUGGUUUGUAUUCAAAAAUUAAGAUUCUCCUCAUUGCUUUCCUCGUGCACAUGGUGAAGAAAAUACUCCCUAUUCUAUAUUUGAUUUUGCAUAAAAAUUCCUUUUACGGCAAAGAGCAAGUGUGAUAAAAUUUAAGUUGAUUUUUAAAUUAAAUUGUUAGUUCAAAUCAUUUUCUCUCUGUGUUUGUAAAAUACUCAUAUUAAAAAUAUUAUAAAAAUACAUAAUAUUAUUACAUAAAAUAAUAAUGAAAUAUAUAUCAUGGAAAAAAUGAAGUAUUAAAUUAUUUUAUAUUUUUAAAAAGUUAUUUAGUCUAAGUUAUUGUUUUGCAUUAUUUUAACUUUAAAUUAUAUAGAAUUAAUUUACCAAUAAGCCUAGACCCCAUUUGAAAUAGAGUUUAACUUUUGCCCUAAUAAUAAAUAAGUAGAAGUAUAAGUAUUAUUAGUGUAAUUGAAUUUUAUAUUUUGGAAUGAUAUCUAUCCCCGCAAAUUUAGGCAGUCUUGUAAAAUAAGUAAAACUAUUGAAAAAAUAUGAGAAUAAAAAUUUUGCAUUAAAAUAAUUAUCGGGGUGCACAAUCCAUAGGACGAUAAUGAAUUGGAGUUCAAGAUCAAUUAAGGACCUUUUUUUUUUUUUUUUAAGUGGGAAGUUGUUUUUCACAAUUUUAUCAUUGAAGGAAGUUAUCUGUAUUUGUAAGUGAAGUUAGAGAAUUAAAUUUGGAAUACCGAAGAUUUGAUUAUUUAAUUCAAGAAGUUUGGUUUCUUAAAGUUAACAACUUGUCUAAUUUAUUUAGGAAAUUAGUCAAUAAGAGAAUAUUUAUUUUCAAUUUUCUUUUGAUUUUGUCUUUUUUUAUUGAGGAAAUUUGUUAAUAAAAAAUAUAUAUUUUUAAUUCUCUCCUAAACUUUAAUGAUUUGAUUUAAUUUUAUUUUGUAAUACUUCUAAAUUUCAUGAGGUGUCACAUUUGAAUAGUCAUAGAAGUGCCUUCACAAAUGUAAAUAUAAUUACAUUUGAUCUCAUUGUAACCAUAUCGAGAAGUCGAUACACGACUCAUAUUGUAAACUCUCCCUAGAAGUUGACUACACACUUAUUUGGUAAAUUACAAUAGUAAAAGAAAAAGAACACAAAAUAUGCACCUAGCCCAAAGUUGGAUGAGAUUUACUUUUGUGAAUAUUAACAUUAACACUAUGUUUGGUUCAUAGAACAUUUGAGAGAAAGAAAAUAGGUAAGAAUCGAAAUAAAAAAAAAAGAAAAAGUUAAGAAAAAUAAAAAAUAAAGUUGAAGUCGAUAAAUUAUUUUUAUUUACUACUAUAAACUCAUUUUAUUUAUUUUAACUCAUCAGUAUAAGGAUUAAAUAAUUUAAAUUUUAAAAAUGUAUAAAUUUUUAAUUAAUUUUAAUUAUAUUUAAUUUUCUUGAAAAUUGUUUCUAGAACAAUCAAAUAUAAGAAAAUCAUUUUUUUAAAUAUUUUUUUUAAUACUUUUCGUGCACCAAAUAUAACUUAAAAGUAUUUUUAUUUUUUAUAUAAAAUAUCACUAUCCUAUUAUUAAACAAAUCAAGGGUCUGUUUAAAAAUAAAUUAUUUUCCAUGGGUAUAAAUAUCUCAAAAAGAUAAUAAAAAAGCCACAUUUAAUUUACUAAUAUAAAAAAGUCCACACCUGAUAAAUCUUUUCCACCUCAUGUCUAGGCAGAUAGAAGGGAGAAAGAGACCAAAAAGACAAACUAGCUUUCUGUGGCGGUUGAGUGUUUUGACCGUUGUAGAUGUAAUUCUAUCUCAAUUUAAUCCAGGCAGCUUCUCACUUUCUUCCCCCAAAAAAUCCAUCAAUUACGCACUCCCUGACACCGUGAUCCAUGCUUUCUUCUUCUCAUCUUCAACUUCAAAACUUCCAAGUUUCCAAUCCUUUUAUGCGUCUCAUAAAGCUAUAUAUAGACUCACAAAUUGUUAUUCACAACACUCCAAGCAUCCAAGUUCUUGCGGUAAGCAGCCAUGAUUAACUGCAGCAUAUAUGAACGCAUAUUCAAGCGCUUUGAUGAAGAUGGUGAUGGGAAACUCUCUCCUUCGGAGCUUCGAAGUUGCGUGGGGACGAUAGGGGAGGAGCUGCUGAUGGAGGAGGCGCAGGAGGUGGUGGAGUCGAUGGACUCAGACGGGGAUGGGUUGGUGGGUUUGGAGGAAUUUGUGGGGUGCAUGGAGAGAGAGGGCGAAAAGAGAAAGAUGGAGGAGUUGAGAGAGGCUUUUAGGAUGUAUGAGAUGGAAGGGAGUGGGUGUAUUACUCCAAAGAGCUUGAAGAGGAUGCUGAGUAGAUUGGGGGAGUCGAGAAGCGUGGAGGAGUGCAGUGUUAUGAUCAGGCAGUUUGAUGUUAAUGGCGAUGGGGUUAUGAGCUUUUAUGAGUUCAAGCUCAUGAUGCUUUAAUAUUGUUUGAUACCUUCCACAUGAAUUUUAUAUUCUUUUUAGAUUUAUAAAGAGUGAUUUGUAUUCAAGAUUCUUUCUACAUAAGGGUCUCCAACGGGCCGGGCCGGGCCGUCCGGCUCGGAGGAGUAAGACCCAUGGCCCAGCUCGAGGCGGGCCACUGAGUCAACGGGCCAGGCCGGGCCGGGCCCUUGGUAUAUCUAAGGCCCGUGGCCCAG